UACGAAGGGGGCUAGCGUUGCUCGGAAUCACUGGGCGUAAAGCGCACGUAGGCGGGUCUUUAAGUCAGGGGUGAAAUCCUGGAGCUCAACUCCAGAACUGCCUUUGAUACUGAGGAUCUUGAGUCCGGGAGAGGUGAGUGGAACUGCGAGUGUAGAGGUGAAAUUCGUAGAUAUUCGCAAGAACACCAGUGGCGAAGGCGGCUCACUGGCCCGGCACUGACGCUGAGGCACGAAAGCGUGGGGAGCAAACAGG
rnacentral:rRNA from 1 species